rnacentral:rRNA from 1 species
GUGGGGAAUAUUGGUCAAUGGGCGAGAGCCUGAACCAGCCAAGUAGCGUGCAGGAUGACGGCCCUAUGGGUUGUAAACUGCUUUUAUACAGGGAUAAAGUCGGGGACGUGUCCCCGUUUGUAGGUACUGUAUGAAUAAGGACCGGCUAAUUCCGUGCCAGCAGCCGCGGUAAUACGGAAGGUCCGGGCGUUAUCCGGAUUUAUUGGGUUUAAAGGGAGCGCAGGCGGGGAGGUAAGCGUGACGUGAAAUGUAGCCGCUCAACGGCUGAACUGCGUCGCGAACUGCCUCUCUUGAGUGAGUACGACGUCAGCGGAAUUUGUGGUGUAGCGGUGAAAUGCUUAGAUAUCACGAAGAACCCCGAUUGCGAAGGCAGCUGACGAGUCCUUUACUGACGCUAAAGCUCGAAGGUGCGGGUAUCGAACAGG